ensembl:lncRNA novel transcript
AUUGCUCCUGUGUUUCAUAGAUGGGAAAUCAUACUGAUGACUCAACCAUAUAUAGCAUUAUUUUGCUGGUUCAUGCUACCUCAGCGGAAACUGCCAAAGGUCAUCUGACAUAAUAGCUGAUGAAUUCAAGCCCAGUGGAUUUCAUUUGCAAUUUUCAAUUUACUGAGGCCUCCAAACCCCACGGUGAUAAAAGCUUCCCCUAUCGUGGCCUGUCACAAACAUCAAGAAACUGCACAAACCCACAAGAAAGAAAAAAGAGAAAGCUGUGCAUCAUCACAGCUAUAGAUAAGGAGAACAGGAAGAAAUGGUAUCAUGCAGGAAGAUGGGGAGCAGCCUGUGUGGCUAGUUCUCUAAAUGCCAAUUGAAACGAAAAGACUAUGAGGAACAAUCAAAUAACUUCCACAGAAUAACAACAUGUUUCUUUGGAGCUUUUAUGUGAAAAUUGCCUUCUAAUCUCUGACUUGACAUGCUCCCACACAAAAAUGUAAGUGUAAAUAUGCAAAUAAAUAAAUGAAUAAAUAAU